CUCUCUUAUUCUUCUUCUUUUCCUCCCCUUCCAGAUACAGGUGGACACAGCUGCAGAGGAGCAAGGCAAGUCUACAGCCAUGGACAAGCAAGGCAGUAGGCUUCAGCAGCAAGGGAUUGCUCUGUGCUUCCAGAGUGGGAAAAGCCUGACACAAAUACAGAGAGCACCUGAAAGUGCUCUUAUGCAGUACUUGUUAUUUCAKAACGCCCCUUCCUGCACUACAACGAAGUAUACAACAUACUGUGAAAUUCUGCACCAGAAAGCUGGAAAGGAUGCGUAACAUUUCCCAGUCUACAGAAGCCUGAUGAAGAUUGAUCUGGGUGAUUGGUAAUAAACACUUUUUAUAGCACUGCA
ensembl:lncRNA